rnacentral:rRNA from 1 species
GACGAACGCUGGCGGCGUGCUUAACACAUGCAAGUCGAACGAUGAAGCUGGAGCUUGCUCCAGUGGAUUAGUGGCGAACGGGUGAGUAACACGUGAGCAAUCUGCCCUUGACUCUGGGAUAACUGCGGGAAACUGUAGCUAAUACCGGAUACGACACCUUGGGGCAUCCCGGGGUGUGGAAAGAAUUUCGGUCAAGGAUGAGCUCGCGGCCUAUCAGCUUGUUGGUGAGGUAAAGGCUCACCAAGGCGACGACGGGUAGCCGGCCUGAGAGGGUGACCGGCCACACUGGAACUGAGACACGGUCCAGACUCCUACGGGAGGCAGCAGUGGGGAAUAUUGCACAGUGGGCGAAAGCCUGAUGCAGCAACGCCGCGUGAGGGAUGACGGCCUUCGGGUUGUAAACCUCUUUUAGCAGGGAAGAAGCGAAAGUGACGGUACCUGCAGAAAAAGCACCGGCUAACUACGUGCCAGCCGCCGCGGUAAUAC